rnacentral:rRNA from 1 species
CCUACGGGGGGCAGCAGUGGGGAAUAUUGCACAAUGGGCGCAAGCCUGAUGCAGCCAUGCCGCGUGUGUGAAGAAGGCCUUCGGGUUGUAAAGCACUUUCAGCGGGGAGGAAGGCGGUGAGGUUAAUAACCUCAUCGAUUGACGUUACCCGCAGAAGAAGCACCGGCUAACUCCGUGCCAGCAGCCGCGGUGAUACGGAGGGUGCAAGCGUUAAUCGGAAUUACUGGGCGUAAAGCGCACGCAGGCGGUCUGUCAAGUCGGAUGUGAAAUCCCCGGGCUCAACCUGGGAACUGCAUUCGAAACUGGCAGGCUAGAGUCUUGUAGAGGGGGGUAGAAUUCCAGGUGUAGCGGUGAGAUGCGUAGAGAUCUGGAGGAAUACCGGUGGCGAAGGCGGCCCCCUGGACAAAGACUGACGCUCAGGUGCGAAAGCGUGGGGAGCAAACAGGAUUAGAUACCCGGGUAGUC